ensembl:lncRNA
GGACUGUCUCAGGGAGUCCGAAGGGCCACACACAGCGGCGGCCGGAGACACACGUCUAGCACCGUUCUCCCCAGACUGUUGGCCUUUUACCCCAAACGCGUGGUGUCUCACGGCCGCUUCGUGGUUAAACGUUAGGAACGCGCGAGCAUCUCCUGGCGCCGGCGGACGAGCGACGUCGGGUUGGAACCCGCUCGUCUCUGGCCUGCGGGCGAGGGGAUGGCCUUCUCUGAGCCGCGUUCCUGCUCUUCUGAAACUAAUUAAAAAACGUGUCACAAACCUGACUUUUUGGUAUUUAGAGAAAGGAAACACAGGUGGCAUGAAAACAAAUUAAACAUUUUUAGGGGAGAAUUGACUUUCCUAAAAGCUGACAAGACUGGAAUUUCUAAUUCAUCUGCAUACGAACUGCUUCAAACUUAACCGAAAGGCAACCACCUAAGGAACGUAUGAGCCCCUUCUUGUGCAAUGAUUUUACAAAAAGGAAUGGAUCACAGAGAACUUGCUCUAUCGCCCAGCCGUGUCCAGUGAGUCAGUUCUUUGCAUCAGUUGGGCAAAGCAUUGGAGCUUCAGCAUCAGUCCUUCCAAUGAGUAUUCAGGACAGAUUUCCUUUUAGACUGAUGAGUUGGAUCUCCUUGCAGUCCAAGGAACUCUCAGGAGUCUUCUCCAGCACCACAGAGAACUAGCAUUAUAUAAAAGAUGGUAUAAAAAAGAACAGCAAAGGAAAUAUUUUUUCAGUUGAUACUGGAUUUAAAGUAUGUGUUGCAACCUCCCUGCAAUUGUAAAGAGGACCGAAAUCCGAUUUUCUGAUUAGAAGAGUAGUCAUAUACGAUUAUGAAAAUUGGACUAUAAAGAAGGCUGAGCACUGGAGAAUCGAUCCUUUCUUCUGUGGUGUUGGAGAAGACUCUUCAGAGUCCCUUGGACUGCAAGGAGAUCAAACCAGCCCAUCCUAAAGUUAAUCAACCCUGAAUAUUAACUGGAAGGACUGAUGCUGAAACUGAAGCUCCAGUACUUUGGCCAUCUAGUAUGAGUGGCCAGCCAAAUCAUUGGAAAAGACUCUGAUGCUGGGAAGGAUUGAGGGCAGGAAGAGAAGAGGGCAGUAGCGGAUGAGAUGGUUGGAGGGCAUCACCGACUUAAUGGACAUGAGUCUGAGCAAACUCCGGGGAUAGUGAAGGACAGGGAAGCCUGGCGUGCUGCAGUCCAUGGGGUCAUAGAGAGUCAGACACGACUGAGCACCUGAACAACAACAGAUGGGAGACAAGAACCAGUUACGUACGUUAUAUAGCUUUCUCUGGUGCCGCCUCUGGGCCCAUGAGGGCCCAGGGUUCCCUCCAGCGAUUGUCCUGGUAGAUGGGAUGGGGGACACCUUUGCAAAUUUAUGUCCUGCUCUUAGGAAGUAAGGGGAGAGCGGAGAGCUUUUCUUGUAUCAGCUUAAUUACCUUCAGCUCAGUAUAAUCUGUGGACUUCCUGGUGGCCUGGUGGUAAAGAAUAUGCCUGAUGAUACAAAAGACUCGGGUUCAAUCAUUGGGUCAGGAAGAUCCCCUGGAGAAGGAAACUGCAAACCACUCCAGUGUUCUUGCCUAGGAAAUCCCAUGGGCACAGGAGCCUGGUGGGCUGCAGUCUGUGGGGUCCCAGAAAGAGUCAGACAGGACUGAAUGACUGAACAGUAACAGUGCAGUCCUCAGGCCAGAGUGACAGUUGGGUGUGGCAUGUUCUGCUCCUGGUCAGGUUCUGGGGCUGCCCUCAAAAUGAGUUUUGAAGGAACGUAUUUCUAAAUAUGGAAACAUAGUACACUACGAUGAUUUUAAACAUUUGUAGAAAUAAAUGGACACAUGGUCACCUUUAACACAAAAUAUUUUGAAAUAGUAACAACAAACCAGGCAACAUCUGUGAAGC